GAGCGAGGGAAGGUCUCGCCGAGGGAAGAAGACAUGGCGAGAGGAGCCAGGCGGAAGGCCUGCAAUCGUGGAUCCGCCUCCAUCCGAAGCGGAGAAGAGCGUUGGAGGCUGCCGGCCUCGGUGCGGCCAAGCGGGGACCCCUUGGCUUCACCAAACACCAUUGGUACCCGAAUUUCUGUCGCCGAGCCCAUCGGUCGCUAAAUGAGCCUCACCUAAUUUUUGACCUAGAUUAUGUUAAGUGAAUCCGUGCGAACCCGGCUCUGUCUAUGGGAAGGUCGUAAAUGGGGAUUGCGGGAUGCCAUAACAGUUUUGCUGAGCCCUCGAAUUUGGACUACGGGGACGCCACACGACCGUUGAGAAUCUAACCGUCUCUCCUCACCAUGGUGCUUGUCCCGUUGAAGGUGAGGUAGGGGAUGCCAAUUACCAUCAUCCCUGGCCCUUCUAGUCCUUCCUCGGGUCUCUCGGCCUGUUGGGCUGGGGGCCCUUAGUGCCCAUCAUCCACACCCCGUGCCUCUCGCCCGAAGAGGAAGCAAGUCGGUGGCCGUCCCGCCCACUGGCCUCCGUUCUGAGUCACUUGCAGGAGGCCGUCGAGAGGGAGGAAGUUUGCGGUCAUCCGACAACGGAAGGUUUCUUGGGAGAAAAAAAAAGGAUGAUGAAGACCAUGCUUCCCUUCCGGCCCCUUGGAGGGGGGGGGGCAGGAUGGGUUUUGCUGCUCCUUCAAGUGGGGGCUUCUGGAAGGAGAUGUAAGUCAUUGGGUGCCUCUCCCUUUCUCCCCCACCAAACAGGAUGACAGAAUAAAGCUGGAAGGGGGGCCUCAGAGGUCAUCUAGUCCAACCCCCUGCUCGACCAGGAGAACCUUUAAAGUAUAACACAGUUGGGAAGGGAUCUGAGAGGUUAUCCAGUCCAUCCCGCACUCAAGCAGGAGACCCUUACAGAAUCACACACUAGCAGAGAUGGAGGUCAUCUAGUCCAACUCCCCUCCAAAAAAGAAACAGGAGACCCUGAUAGAAUAAUGCAAGGGACCUGGGAGGUCAUUUAGUCCAACCCCUGCUCAAGCUGGAGGCCCUGGACCGUUUCUGGCAGGGACCAUUUUCUGAAGAAUAAAUGAUUCCCCGCCUGAGCCCGCACUGCCUUCCUUCCCUUCCCAGGAUCGGCAAAAAGAAAGAACCAGCUAGUCCUCAGUUUUACGACCACACCGUAGAUCCAAAAUUUCCGCAGCUGCGGGUCUGAUUUGAGUUUUGAUCCAUUUUGCGACCUUCCCAUUAAGUGAACCACUGCUGUUCAGCGAGCCACCUGGUGGCUAAGUGAAUCCAGCUUCCUGCCCGUUGAGCCGGUCACAAAAGGGGAUCGCAGUGACCAUCAUAAAUUGGAGUCGUUGGCCAAGUCUCUGAAUUUGUGGAUGCUGCAACAGUCGUAAGAGUGAAAAAACGCUCAACUCACUUUUUGAGCACCCUUGUAACUUGUUUAGAGAUAAUCCUCGACUUAACAAUGAUUCAUUGAUUGUGCCAAAUCCGACAUCCCAUCAUUUCAAUCUGGAUUGUAAAUAGAAGUUGUCCUCCGCUUAACAAUGGAAGCUAUAACGGAACUGGAAGAAAGACGUAGAGGUCAUCUAGUCCAACCCCCUGCUCAAGCAAGAGGCCCUUGCAGAAUCAUACUAGCAGAGGUGCACGGGACCUUGGAGGCCAUCUAGUCCAACCCACCCACUCCAAAAGGAGACCCUUACAGAUUCAUAGAAUAAUGCAAGGGACCUUGGAGGUCAUAUAGUCCAACCCCCUGCAGGAGGCCCUUACAGAACCAUGGGAUAACGGGAUUGGAAGGGAUCUUGGAGGUCAUCUCCACCCCCAAGUGUUUGGAACAUCUUGGUUAUCCGUCCAGUAACCACCUCCAGAAGGAUUUGUUUAAUUUAG